UACGUAGGGUGCAAGCGUUGUCCGGAUUUAUUGGGUUUAAAGGGUGCGUAGGCGGCCUUUUAAGUCAGCGGUGAAAGCCCGGGGCUCAACCCCGGAACUGCCGUUGAUACUGGGAGGCUUGAGUACAGACGAGGUAGGCGGAAUUGAGGGUGUAGCGGUGAAAUGCUUAGAUACCACCAAGAACCCCGAUUGCGUAGGCAGCUCGCUUGGCCGAAACUGACGCUGAGGCACGAAAGCGUGGGGAGCGAACAGG
rnacentral:rRNA from 1 species